CAGAGAAUAGUUUAUUUAAAAUGUUAGUUUUGGGGAUUAACGAUAGGAGGUUUCUCUUUUCUCUGA
rnacentral:tRNA from 1 species